rnacentral:rRNA from 1 species
UAAGGGACACUUCUAAGUGAGCAGGGGAAACCUGAAACGGAGUGCAACGGGAAGCCACUAGAUAAGGCGACCGACCUACCUUCACACCCUUGUGUUUCUACCACGUUGCUUUGGUGGGUCGACCCGGUUCUGUCCCGGGCGGCCGGUGACCCCAGCCCAGUCCCCUGGGCCAGGACGCCUGGCUAAGUGCCCGCCAGUAUACAAAACUCCAGCGAUCAUUUUGUGUAGUCCUGAGAAUUCAUUCAAUGAACUAAAACUUUCAACAACGGAUCUCUUGGUUCUGGCAUCGAUGAAGAACGCAGCGAAAUGCGAUAAGUAAUGUGAAUUGCAGAAUUCAGUGAAUCAUCGAAUCUUUGAACGCACAUUGCGCCCCCUGGUAUUCCGGGGGGCAUGCCUGUUCGAGCGUCAUUUCAACCCUCAAGCUCUGCUUGGUAUUGGGCGACGUCCGCUGCCGGACGCGCCUGGAAAACUCGGCGACGGCGUCUCGGCCUCGAGCGUAGUANUAAAAUAUCUCGCUUUGGAGGAGGAGGCGACGGCUUGCCGGACAAUCGACCUUCGGUCACUUAUUUUUCCAAGGUUGACCUCCGAUCAGGUAGGGAUACCCGGCUGAACUUAGCAUAUCAAUAGCGGGGGGAAA